AGUCGAGCGGAACGAGUUAUCUGAACCUUCGGGGAAUGAUAACGGCGUCGAGCGGCGGACGGGUGAGUAAUGCCUAGGAAAUUGCCCUGGUGUGGGGGAUAACCAUUGGAAACGAUGGCUAAUACCGCAUAAUACCUUCGGGUCAAAGAGGGGGACCUUCGGGCCUCUCGCGUCAGGAUAUGCCUAGGUGGGAUUAGCUAGUUGGUGAGGUAAUGGCUCACCAAGGCGACGAUCCCUAGCUGGUCUGAGAGGAUGAUCAGCCACACUGGAACUGAGACACGGUCCAGACUCCUACGGGAGGCAGCAGUGGGGAAUAUUGCACAAUGGGCGCAAGCCUGAUGCAGCCAUGCCGCGUGUGUGAAGAAGGCCUUCGGGUUGUAAAGCACUUUCAGUCGUGAGGAAGGUAGUGUAGUUAAUAGCUGCAUUAUUUGACGUUAGCGACAGAAGAAGCACCGGCUAACUCCGUGCCAGCAGCCGCGGUAAUACGGAGGGUGCGAGCGUUAAUCGGAAUUACUGGGCGUAAAGCGCAUGCAGGUGGUUUGUUAAGUCAGAUGUGAAAGCCCGGGGCUCAACCUCGGAAUAGCAUUUGAAACUGGCAGACUAGAGUACUGUAGAGGGGGGUAGAAUUUCAGGUGUAGCGGUGAAAUGCGUAGAGAUCUGAA
rnacentral:rRNA from 1 species